UAUUCGUAUUUCCCCUUAGUUGUAUGUUGUCAAUAGCAUCAAUCACGAACAUAUAAAUAAAUAUAGAAGAAACCUCUAUAUGGUUUCUUCUAUAUGGAAAUGAAAAGGGAAAAAUGAACAUGGAAGACAAGAAAGUUUUCUUCAGGUUUAGCGUAUGCGUGAUACGCUUUGAAUGUCUCAGAUAAAGAUAAAGAUACUCUGCUCAUUUCUAUUUGUUCCGCAGAACGAGAAAUUUGUUGUCUUUCAUAUUGGUUUUUACGAUUCAAUUUUUGGGCAGUUUUCCCUAGCGAGUGUCGGUCCCUGUUUGAUAUAACCAGACCGUAAUUUAUACAGAUAUGUAUUAUAGAUAUAUAUUUGUAAAACUGAAAUCAGAUGAAAUAAAUGUUGCCUGAGGUUUUAAACGUUUAAUAAAAACAAUAUUUCAUUUGGAAAAAAUGUAAGAUAUGUAAAAUUACAUAUUGAUCAUUUUGCUGGUCUUGUAUCAUAAAACGUGUGGCCCGAAGAGCACGUGUCCGGUAGAGAUACGUCACUUGUGUUAGGAAACCGUUUUAUAACCUAUCACAGUAAAGGAACGUCGGCAGUAUAGCAGCCGAAGAAUGCCGUGAAAGUUUCUGUACAAAGUACAAUUGAUCUACAAUUGAUAUUUUCCGCAAUACUUAUCUGAUGUUCGGUCAGGGUGUCCCAUACUCAUGAUAUUUAUGACAGUGGAAUGGCGCAACAAGAGGAAUAUCGACCACGCAACCACUUUCAGAAAAACAAGA